UUAAAGAAAAAAUAUACUCAUCUUUCCAUGUGCUUCUUCUGUUAUUCUCUGUCCUCUCAUGGGGCUCCCGCAUCUGAAAGAAAACAAAGAAGCAUGGAUUAGUAAAAUAUGUUUAAAAGAGGGGGUAGGGGCCUAUUUAAAGAAAAAUAUACUCAUCUUUCAAUGGUCUUCUUCUGUUAUCUCCUGUUUUCUCAUGGGGUUCCCCACCACUGAAAGAAAAACAAAGAGCAUGGAUUAGUAAAAUAGUUUAAAAGAGGGGGUAGGGGCCUAUUUAAAGAAAAAUAUACUCAUCUUUCCAUGUGCUUCUUCUGUUAUUCCCUGUCUUCUCAUGGGGCUCCCCGCAUC
rnacentral:lncRNA from 1 species